ACAGAAAGAGUAGCAAGCAUUAAGGUUGCUAGCUACCGCAAGACAUAUUUUUGAUAAAACAAAUGGCUGCGGCGGCUGAUGGGACUGAUCUCCAGUACCUCCUAAGUUCAGGACUACUGGUGAAGUUGACCCUAGAACGGAAGUGGUGAUCUGUCUCAAGGGUGUCCAUGGCCCGUGAAGAAGCAACACCACAUAGCUAGCUUGUAAAUUCUUAAUUCAAAGAGCAACCGUAGUAGUGUUUGGUGUAGCUUUUAUCUGAUAUCAGUGUCGGAAUCCAAUUAAAGAAAGAGAGUGAGAUUCUCUCCGGUGGCCGUGAGGCAGGGAUGCGGGUAUGCCACGUAGCGAGGUGAGGACAGUGAGUGGAGAGUUUGCUUUCUGUGUUUGUGACUGCUGGAGUGGUGAGACAAUAGCCACCAUCUGCCAACUGUUACAAGUGGAACGUUAAUAGAUCAUCGUGGGGAAGCCAGGAAGAAGUGGCGUCAGCGGGAUGCUUCGGGACUAUAAUUGUACCUUUAUAUGCAUCUUUUCUUGCCCAGCAAGCAUUAUGGAUUCAAAUGUGGUAGAAUUAAAAGCGAUUUCCAAAGCUGUAGAGCUGUGUCUUUCUGUGCCAGACACUUCCUCCAAUGCUACUGAAAUCCUCACUGAAUCAGACUCCAAGGCCAGUCUUAUGGGUGUUGCAUCCAGAAUUUGCCACCUGGCGUUUAUCCUAAAAAAUCAAUUCAGUCACUGAGUGCUUAAGAGCUCUUCCACUCAUUGUCAUUAGGCAAAAUCUCCGUGAAGC
rnacentral:misc_RNA from 1 species